rnacentral:rRNA from 1 species
AUGUGCGUCCAUUCAUUUGGUUUUCACCUGGAACUCGUCUCUGGGGUUGGUUGGCGCGAGGCACACGGUGCCGUUCCUCACGGUCAGGCUGUAGUCCUCGCCGGCCGCGCACAGAACGCGCACGGUGGACUCGGACGCCAGCGCACGGUGCAGGUUGCCGUACCCGUACCCUGCGCCCGGCGGCGCGUACGCCUCUGCGCCGUGGGCAUGCGGCGGCGGGUAGGCCUCCGCGCCGGCCGGCGGGGGGCGGUAGCCUCCUCCGUACGCAGGCGGAGGCGCGUAGGGAUCCUGGCCGCCCGACGAGCCGCCGCCGUACCCGUACCCGUACCCGCCGUCGGCGCCCCAGGGCAGGAUCUUCCAGCUCUGGUUCUCCCCCUUGCAGAACUCCCAGAGCACGACGCCGGUGCCAUCGUGCACGCCGCCGUGGUCCUUAUCGCCGUGGAGGGCGUCGAAGCUGAGGUUGAGGUUGUUGACCAUGCGGAUGCAGCGGAAGCCCUUGCCGACGUCGUUGCUCUCCGUCCACAGCACCGACUCGUCCAGGUACUCCGGGUUGUAGGGGAUGAGCUUCACGGGGUGGGACUGGCCCAGCGAGUGCUUGACGGCCAGCCCGGUGGCCUUGUUCACCAGCGCGAACGCCGGGUGGCCCUCCGCGUCGCUCACCCGCGUGCUGUGCCUCAUGUCCUUGUACCAGUGCUGCACCCACACACAUGCAUGCACACACAAUGA